rnacentral:piRNA from 1 species
UAGCAGCAAAUAGGUAUCCACCUACAGGGA